AGUGUGAGGCUAAAGUGAGCAGCUUUGAUCUUCACUAAGCUCACAAUGAGAUCAUUUCAGUGGUUUUGUGUGCUGCUGUCUCAUGUCUCAUAGAAGAGCAAGAGUGGCUAGACAACAUGUGAAGAAGCACUACUCUAGAUUACCUCAGAUGGCAACUAUGUGCCCUGAACUGCUGUGAGGGUAUUUCUGGGGUCAUCAGCCAUCCCAUGGGGAAAUGAGUCAGCAAAAGCGUAAGUGAUUUCAACACCUCUGUUAUAAAUUCCAUAGAUUAGUAAUAUGAACUUUACAAAAGUUUUGCUAAUUUGGGACCUGUGAGACUUUCCACUGAGUAACUUUAGCUUUAAAAAAGUAUACACACCACCAUGAUAUUUGCAUUAAAGCAGUGUUAGGGAUUGAAGCAGGAACAAGAUUUUACUUUGCUGUUGUAUGGUUGCACUUGAAAACAAUCCCUGCCUUAGAAAAGGUUAAACCUUAGCCAAGGCAAGACACAACUAGCUAUUAUAUGCUAAGUGAAUGAAGGACAUUAAGGUUCUGGGGACAUUAUUGAGACAGAAAAAUAAAGGUGUU
rnacentral:lncRNA from 1 species